AGUUGUCUGUCGUAGUGUUGAAUGACAAGUGACGUCUUCUUAUGCGUGGGCAGGUAACUCGACAUUAACCUUGAUCGGUUAAUGACCAAAGUUGUGGAACUUGAUUUGAUGCUUACAUUUCAAAUGAACAAAGGUCAACACCUGCUGUGCACUAGCCCACACUGUAAUAUGGUCUGAAGCCAAACUGCUGUAAACACACUAAGGAUAAUGUCCUAGCCAACUCUAUCCUAAGGAAAGAGAUGAAACGAAAUGAGUUGCUGAGUUACGAUGUCUAUAACUUAUCCAUAAACACCGAAGACUACACAGCCCAAAGAACAAGCACGAGCAAAGCAAAACGCCUUGACCAGAACUACAAAGGUACAAUGAAUAAAUGAUUUUCAACCUGAACUACAAAUGGGAAAUGGGAGAAAUAACGUGUAAACUAUUUUAACAGACAGACAGAAGGAGUGAGUUGAUAUAAGCUUUGAAAUAUAAAUAUCAUCACCUAUGUGAAGUUCUAUAACAUUCUGACUUUCAUCAAGUUAAACGAAACAUUUUAACGUUGUACUCCGUUCCAUAUCAAUGUGAGAACUGUGUUCAUUUUGGUUUUCCCCCUUUACGUUAGAUAUUGAAAUCAACUUACUUUAGGUAGGUGUUAGUGUGUAGGUAUAACCUGUAUUGAAAAAGGUCUUUUUUUUUUUUUUGGACAUUUUUUUCUCCGUGCAUUAUUUACCUUUAGAAAACAUUUUUGGGCGAGUAAUGUAGGCCUAUGUCAGAUUACUUAUAUGGGCAUUUGUUUAAAACUUUGUAGGCCUAUGUCAAAUUGCUUAUAUGGGCAUUUGUUUAAUACUUUGUAGGCCUAUGUCAGAUUACUUAUAUGGACAUUUGUUUAAUACUUUGUAGGCCUAUGUCAGAUUACUUAUAUGGGCAUUUGUUUAAUACUUUGUAGGCCUAUGUCAGAUUACCUA